GACGAACGCUGGCGGCAUGCUUAACACAUGCAAGUCGAACGGAAAGGCCCUGCUUUUGUGGGGUGCUCGAGUGGCGAACGGGUGAGUAACACGUGAGUAACCUGCCCUUGACUUUGGGAUGACUUCAGGAAACUGGGGCUAAUACCGGAUAGGAGCUCCUGCUGCAUGGUGGGGGUUGGAAAGUUUCGGCGGUUGGGGAUGGACUCGCGGCUUAUCAGCUUGUUGGUGGGGUAGUGGCUUACCAAGGCUUUGACGGGUAGCCGGCCUGAGAGGGUGACCGGCCACAUUGGGACUGAGAUACGGCCCAGACUCCUACGGGAGGCAGCAGUGGGGAAUAUUGCACAAUGGGCGGAAGCCUGAUGCAGCAACGCCGCGUGCGGGAUGACGGCCUUCGGGUUGUAAACCGCUUUCGCCUGUGACGAAGCGUGAGUGACGGUAAUGGGUAAAGAAGCACCGGCUAACUACGUG
rnacentral:rRNA from 1 species